CUGCUUCUACUUUCUGUAUGGAGCUGGGAGCGUCUGCCUGUUGGACGCCCGAAGAGCGUCAGGUUUGAUCCUUGGUAUGCAGAUGAACAUGACGAAUUACGGCGCCCCACGUGGGCUUACAAGUGGGAUAUCGUUUCCGAGAUGACGAAUGAUGUCAAUCUCAUGUACCAAAAGUACAUUGCCGAGUUGGACACGAUUACGCCUGAGUAG
rnacentral:rRNA from 1 species